rnacentral:rRNA from 1 species
UACGUAGGGAGCGAGCGUUAUCCGGAAUUAUUGGGCGUAAAGGGUGCGCAGACGGCACGAAAAGUAUGCUGUAAAAUCGAAGGGCUCAACCCUUUCUAGCAGCAUAGACUAUCGAGCUAGAGUAGUCAAGAGGCAAACGGAACUCCAUGUGUAGCGGUAAAAUGCGUAAAUAUAUGGAAGAACACCAGUGGCGAAAGCGGUUUGCUAGUGGCACACUGACGUUGAGGCACGAAAGCGUGGGGAGCAAACA